UGAACCACCCGAUCCCAUCCCGAACUCGGAAGUGAAACCGCUUAGCGCCGAUGAUAGUGUGGCAGGUUGCCAUGUGAAAGUAGGACAUCGCC
rnacentral:rRNA from 1 species